CACAAUAAAAUAAAAUUAGAAAGAAGGUUGGAACUUAAAAUAGAGAAAAAGAAAAAUCAUCAGCAAAACAGCGAAUUACGUACGUAGCUAGUUAGCGUACCUACGGGUUUGAGAAAGGCACCCAACAAUGCUUUUUCUAAAACCGAUUAGCCCACUACCGAAUAUAUCCAGCUCCGGAUUAGCUGUGUUCAAUCCGUUAUAGUUGCGAAGAAUUCCACGAGAGGUGCCUGAACUCCUAGGUUGGUUUUGGCAGAAGGAACUUGAAAAAUAUUGAUGAUUUUAGACCUAGGGAACGAGUAUGGGACUACAAUUUUAAUACCCUGUAAGAGGUCACUGCUCUGUAUAUGAUUAUGCAGCAAUUUAUGUAAAAAGGUAACACCGGCUAAAGUCCUCCGAUCAUACAGUGAAAGCAUAUGAUUUUUUUUAAGCCGCUGUUCGUAUGGGUGCCUAUGAGAGAAUCCUCUGCUUUUGAACGCUAGGUGUGGCGUAAAAGAUCUUUGAAUGCUUUCAACGUGUUGCGAAUGGAUCGCAUAUCGUCGCUGCGCGUGCGGAUCCGCGUAAGAGCAAUUUGUAAAGACCGCGUAUUUGCUUUUUAAUGAUUUUACAGGAGGAAGAAAAAACUUAAUAUCUCAGCGAUUUUAAUUCUUAUUACCGACUGAACUUAAUAGCUAGUUCUUUUCAACUUUCUUUCUUGGAAAAUAACGUAAAUUUACUCGUAGUUGCCUUAGAUUUUGUGUAAAGUCACUUACGCGGUUUUGUUUUAACUAAUUACAAAAUAAGUAGACGUUUAUUAAAAGUACGCGGUUUUGAAAUAAAACAAUUUAGUAAAGGGUUGUAUUUAUUACUCGAAAAAUUAAAUUGAAUGAAUGGGACGGUAGUUUCGGUAGUGCAGUUAAAUAUUUUUUAGCUAAUUCUUUUUUGGAUAUUUUUUUUAUGACUUCUGUUGUUUCAGGUUCUUUAUUAUUUGUCCCAUCUCCAAGCCAAUAAUGCGAAUGGAUCGCAUAUAGUGGAUUCCAUACAAUACUGCCAAAUUCAACAUGAUUGCGCACCAGAGCAUUGUACAAAAUUGUUUUAGUCGUACAACCAAAGCAAUCUGCAUUCCGUUUUUCUACCUAAUUGAGUGGCAGCCGCCUCUUCAGGAGUAAGAUAUUUAGCUACCAGAGCUAGCUUCAACGCGUUGUCUUUUGAUUAUCUAAUGGGAGCUUCUACAAUACGAGACAUUAUUAAAAUUACAUGCGAGCAAAUAUGAAACAAACUCCAACCAUUGUACAUGGCAAACAGACAAGAAGAUGACUGGAUUAAAAUUUUCUGACGAAUUCAACAGUCGCACAAAUUUUUCAAACAUUAUUGGAGCGAUUGAUGGAAAGCAUAUACGCAUACAGCCAGAACAUUCUGGAUCAUCAUAUUUUAACUAUAAAAAGUUAUUUUCUUGCGUUUUAAUGGCAUGGACGGAUGCAGAUUACAAAUUUUAUACAUUGAUGUUGGUUCGUAUGGAACAUCAAGUGAUUCAGAAAAUUUUCGAAAUGGGUAGACGGCCAUCUGAGAAUCUGCUAAAUAUUCCCACUGGAAGGCAUUUACCCAACGACGAAGACGGAAAAAAAAUAAAUUUAAAUUACACCAAGCGAAUUUUCUACUCUAGACAUACUAGAGCUCCACGCAUGGUUGAAUGUACUGUUGGCAUUCUCGCUAACAAGUGGCGUAUUUUCCACCGCCCAAUUGAUGUGAAUAUUAAUUUUUGUUUCGAAUUGUUAAAAGCUUGUUGUGUCCUGAUUGAUGAUUUUUUGACUUCUCUACCGUAUGUCCCAUGAAUAACGUAACAAGAAAUGAAAACAACCGAGGAAGAAACAAUAAUAAAUAAUGGAUAAUGUACUGCCGGUACAUGUCAUCAUAUUUUAUUUCUCCAGCGGGCGCAAUUUCCCGUCAAUAUAAUAAUGUGAUUUAAAAAAUACAGUAAUUAAAAUAAAAAUGUUAAAUAAUACAAAUAGAUAAGAGAUGUAUCCCUUAACUCAUGCAGUAAUACUCUUAGCUGGGUGACCAGGAGAGGAGCAAGAAAACACAAUGAAUGUUUUAGUUACAUAACAGGUUUUCAAUACUGUCGUUCGAGUAGUAUUCUUACUUUGGUAUUACAAAGUAGGAAUCUAAUAUAGUUUUAGAUAAGGUAAUAAGUAACCUGUUCAGUUUCCUGGUGAUCUUUAGGUGUACUUUCUUGGGAAGAACCAAUAUCAAAUCCAAGGUUGUGGCUAGAAUUAUCUUCAAUUGCAUUUUGGUUACCAUUAUCUUCAUUGCGGGUUAAUUCACAAUUGUUAUUGGAGGUCUGGUGUGUCGUUAAUAUAUUAUAUGUGCUUGCUAAAUGGACAGGUUUAGUCUGAAUACCAUGACACGUUAUUUUUUUAUACUUUUCUCUAUUAUCUGGUGUGUCCUCAAACAGUCUUCUGCAAAUAUUCUUUAGUUUGUUUAAUCUCGCAUUUUCUAAAGGCAUUUUAAGUCUGAAAACAAGCAAAUCAUGGUCAAAAUUACUUAUAUUACUAAAAAGUAACACGAGUAAUUACUAAUAUAGAUAUACCUUCAUAAUAAAAUUAUUUACUGAAUUUACUACUUGUAUAAUAAGUAUUAAAUCAUUGAAAUAACCAAAACCAAUGUUAAAGUGUAUUCCAAAUAGAAAUGACUCUGAACAAAAUUCUUAGUUGGUCUCGGUGUUAUUUUUCAUGCUUACUCUUUGGCAUAAAAGAAGAAUGACACUAAAGAAAUAAUGACGUUAUGAGUCAAUCAUAAACUCAAUUCAAAUACUGUAACACAAAGAGUGACAUUAAUUAAAAAAUGUAAAUAUGUCUGUACAACAAAGCAAGUUUUACAAAAUAAAAUGGCUUAAUACAUGACGCUUAACAAAAUGUGACGGUAUUUGUAUUAAAGUGAAUUUGUUUAAAUGUAAAAUCUUAAUAAAGGCUAUAAUUAUUAUAUAACAAGAACUGAGCUAUAACAAUUACAUAACUACGUGUAAAUUAU